rnacentral:rRNA from 1 species
GAUGAACGCUGGCGGCGUGCCUAAUACAUGCAAGUCGAGCGAACAGACGAGGAGCUUGCUCCUCUGACGUUAGCGGCGGACGGGUGAGUAACACGUGGAUAACCUACCUAUAAGACUGGGAUAACUUCGGGAAACCGGAUCUAAUCCCGUAUAAUAUAUUGAACCGCAUGGUUCAAUAGUGAAAGACGGUUUUGCUGUCACUUAUAGAUGGAUCCGCGCCGCAUUAGCUAGUUGGUAAGGUAACGGCUUACCAAGGCGACGAUGCGUAGACGACCUGAGAGGGUGAUAGGCCACACUGGAACUGAGACACGGUCCAGACUCCUACGGGAGGGAGCAGUAGGGAAUCUUCCGCAAUGGGCGAAAGCCUGACGGAGCAACGCCGCGUGAGUGAUGAAGGUCUUCGGAUCGUAAAACUCUGUUAUUAGGGAAGAACAAAUGUGUAAGUAACUAUGCACGUCUUGACGGUACCUAAUCAGAAAGCCACGGCUAACUACGUG